GUUGGAGCUGCGCUGAUGGAAAUGAAUGUGAAGUGUACUCUAAAGUUGGCGUUAGAAGGUUUAGAUUUUUAUGGUGGCUGUGAUGAUGGGUAUUGAUGUUUUUAUAUUACGUGUUCCGUUCUAUUUAUUAAUGCAUUUAUUCCUGAAAUUAGUCUUCUGUCAUUUUCAGUUGAAUAAUGUGAGUUUUACGGCUAGGUGAAGAAGGGAGGUUGGAAUGUGGACCUCUUUUUUAAGCCUACAUUUCUUAGGAAAAAGGAAUUUGAUGUUUUCUUGGUCCAGUGAGAUCCAAGGCAUUAUUGGAGCUUUAUGCAAAAGACUAGUUGUGUUCUAUGGCAACGCUAUUUCUGUUUCUUGAAAACAAAAAAAAUAUGAUGAUAUAGAGUAUGGGAAACAAAAAGUGUUUGGAUUUAGGUCAUUUUUGUGUGUCACCAUGUUGUUGAACUGCCAG
rnacentral:misc_RNA from 1 species